UACAGAGGUGGCAAGCGUUGUUCGGAAUUACUGGGCGUAAAGGGCGCGUAGGCGGCCUUCUCAGUCAGACGUGAAAUCCCCGGGCUUAACCCGGAAACUGCCGUUGAUACUAUAUAUCUUGAAUGCUGUGGAGGUAAGCGGAAUAUGUCAUGUAGCGGUGAAAUGCUUAGAUAUGACAUAGAACACCUAUUGCGAAGGCAGCUUACUACACAGAUAUUGACGCUCAUGCACGAAAAGCGUGGGGAUCAAACAGG
rnacentral:rRNA from 1 species